GUGCUCACUUCAGUGGCACAUAUACUAACAUUGGAAUGACGCACAGAUUAGCAGGGCCCCUGCUCAAGGAUGACAUGAAGAUUUGUGAAGCAUUCUAUUGAAAA